rnacentral:lncRNA from 1 species
GUUCCUUGGGGGCAGCGGCUCAUGCUGGUUUUCCCACUGCAGUGUCUUCUGUGGCUUCAGCGUCACCUAGUGCAGGCUGCCAUUCAACAAACGCAUUGUCAACAGUCAACCAAAAGAAACCCAUUGGCCACCAUACCCUGAGGACUAACCCUGACACAGAUGCCCUUCCAGAUGCCCUCAAUAGUCUAACUGAUUCCAUCGCCCCAGCCUUGGGGGAGAAGCACUGCUGCCUAUGCACUCCAUUUACAGAAAAACGUUGACCUCUUGGCGAGAAUGCAAAGAAGGGAACGCUUGCUUAUACGCUGUUGGUGAACUGUCACCCCUACAACUCAGCUUGCAACCAGCCCUGGCCACCAGUUUCCCCACACUGAGCUGAAUAUCGGACAUGCCCAUCUCAGACAUUCCAGCCCAUUCUGAAAUUCCACAUCGAUUCACCUGACAAAGUCUGAAGUUCCAGGGCAAUUUAUCUGGAAAAGCUUACCUGGAAUCACGUGUCAUUUCAACCAACAACUGUUGAAGAGGACGUGGCAUUAAAACCAAGGGUAUCAAUUAUUUAUAA